UACGUAAGGUGCGAGCGUUAAUCGGAAUUACUGGGCGUAAAGCGUGCGCAGGCGGUUCGUUGUGUCGGUGGUGAAAGCCCCGGGCUCAACCUGGGAAUGGCCAUGGAAACUGGCGAACUGGAGUGUGGCAGAGGGGGGUGGAAUUCCGCGUGUAGCAGUGAAAUGCGUAGAGAUGCGGAGGAACACCGAUGGCGAAGGCAGCCCCCUGGGCUAGCACUGACGCUCAGGCACGAAAGCGUGGGGAGCAAACAGG
rnacentral:rRNA from 1 species